rnacentral:rRNA from 1 species
UAUGUGAUCGUCUCUCGCAUAUCAAUAAGCGGAGGAAAAGAAACUAACAAGGAUUCCCCCUAGUAACGGCGAGUGAAGCGGGAAGAGCUCAAAUUUGAAAUCUUAAAGGGUUUCCCUUUACGAAUUGUAGUUUAAAGAAGUGUUCUCUGUUGAGGUUUUGGUAAAAGUUCUUUGGAAUAGGACAUCAUAGAGGGUGAGAAUCCCGUAUUUGACCUUUACUUUCAACUUUGUGAUACACUUUCAAAGAGUCGGAUUGUUUAGGGAAUGCAGUCCAAAAUGGGUGGUAAAUUUCAUCUAAAGCUAAAUAUUGGCGAGAGACCGAUAGCGAACAAGUACCGCGAGGGAAAGAUGAAAAGAACUUUGAAAAGAGAGUUAAACAGUACGUGAAAUUGUCAAAAGGGAAGCGUUUGACACCAGUGUUGUUUUUCUGAAAAUCAAUUAAAGAACUGUUUAUGCUAAGUUGUUUAGACUUUAUCAGCUAACUGUUUAGUUUUGAGCUUUUCUUUAAUGCACUUUUCAGUUAACAAGUCAACAUCAAUUUCUUUUGCUGUAAAAAAGCUUGAGGAAGGUGGCUUGAGAUUCGUCUUAAGUGUUUAUAGCCUCUUGCCUAUGCAGUCGGAGAGAUUGAGGUCUGCAGCGUAGAUCCUUCGGGGCUAAAUGCAUUUGUGCUAAGUUAUAGCAUUUUAUAGACAACUUGUUGACUAUGAUUUGUCUUGUAGCUUACUCGCUUAUGUUAUUUUACCUACGCUUAGGAUGUUGAUCUACAGAGCGAGAGU